rnacentral:tRNA from 1 species
GCUCAGUGGUGGAGUAUCGCCUUGCCAAGGCGAGGGUCGCGGGUUCGAAUCCCGUCUCG